UUUUGGACAAUGGGCGCAAGCCUGAUCCAGCAAUGCCGCGUGAGUGAAGAAGGCCUUCGGGUUGUAAAGCUCUUUUGUCAGGGAAGAAACGGUGAGCUCUAAUACAGUUUGCUAAUGACGGUACCUGAAGAAUAAGCACCGGCUAACUACGUGCCAGCAGCCGCGGUAAUACGUAGGGUGCAAGCGUUACCCGGAAUUACGGGGCGUAAAGCGUGCGCAGGCGGUUAUGUAAGUCAGAUGUGAAAUCCCCGGGCUCAACCUGGGAAUGGCAUUUGAGACUGCAUGGCUAGAGUGUGUCUGAGGGGGGUAGAAUUCCACGUGUAGCAGUGAAAUGCGUAGAGAUGUGGAGGAAUACCGAUGGCGAAGGCAGCCCCCUGGAUAACACUGACGCUCAUGCACGACA
rnacentral:rRNA from 1 species